GACGAACCGAGCGAACGUUGUUCGGAAUCACCGGGCUUAAAGGGCGCGUAGGCGGGCUGCCGCGUCCGGGGUGAAAUCCCACGGCUCAACCGUGGAACGGCCUCGGAUACGGGCGGCCUCGAGGGGGGUAGGGGCAUCUGGAACUGUGAGUGGAGCGGUGAAAUGCGUUGAUAUUCACAGGAACUCCGGUGGCGAAGGCGAGGUGCUGGACCCCAUCUGACGCUGAGGCGCGAAAGCCAGGGGAGCAAACGGG
rnacentral:rRNA from 1 species